GAUGAACGCUGGCGGCGUGCCUAAUACAUGCAAGUCGAGCGAACAGACGAGGAGCUUGCUCCUCUGACGUUAGCGGCGGACGGGUGAGUAACACGUGGAUAACCUACCUAUAAGACUGGGAUAACUUCGGGAAACCGGAGCUAAUACCGGAUAAUAUAUUGAACCGCAUGGUUCAAUAGUGAAAGACGGUUUUGCUGUCACUUAUAGAUGGAUCCGCGCCGCAUUAGCUAGUUGGUAAGGUAACGGCUUACCAAGGCAACGAUGCGUAGCCGACCUGAGAGGGUGAUCGGCCACACUGGAACUGAGACAUGGUCCAGACUCCUACGGGAGGCAGCAGUAGGGAAUCUUCCGCAAUGGGCGAAAGCUUGACGGAGCAACGCCGCGUGAGUGAUGAAGGUCUUCGGAUCGUAAAACUCUGUUAUUAGUGAAGAACAAAUGUGUAAGUAACUAUGCACGUCUUGACGGUACCUAAUCAGAAAGCCACGGCUAACUACGUG
rnacentral:rRNA from 1 species